rnacentral:sRNA from 1 species
CUAGCCCCGAUAGAAGCGAUAUCCUUUUAUGGUGGGGUUCACCAUAAAAGAUAAAGCGGAUAGCGGGAUUA